GGGUUCCCCAUACUUAGAACUGAAUCUCAAUUUUUUUUUCAUCAUACCAAUACGUGUGUGGUAUCUAUGGAUAGGUCUUCAAAAAUGAUAUUGAGGUUUCUAAUGUAAUUUUUUUCUAAAGUGAAUAGUUUGCGCGAGAGACACUUCCAAAGUGGUAAAAUGUGUGUCCUCCCCCUAAUUGGUUUGAACGAGAUCUAGUAAGUAGUUUUUUUUAAUACGUCAUAAA